GUUUCAACCCAAAAUCAUAGCAGGAAACCAUGUGGGGCAUCCCCUAUAAAUAGGGAACCAAGGGACGUCACAAGGGAUGAAUGGGCGCCAACCUUUGGCACUCCAACUUCUCAUAUGGUAAAUAAAUUCAUCAUAUGGAAUUUUUGGCACAUCAUAUGCUUGCAAUAGAAGGACUCUUCCAUUUCUAUGUGCCAUAAAAAUUUCACAUUAAAUUGGUGUUAAAUCAUAGGAUAUC
rnacentral:lncRNA from 1 species